UUGUGGAAUGCUUAUAUAACCAUGAAACCCUGCACACUUCAGGAAUAAAAGGAAACACAGUGGCAUUGUUCUCAGUGUCACUGUCUUAGACAAAAGGAGAGAUGGAAUAUCACAAACACCCACACGCAGACCUGCCAAAAUUCAUUCCCUACCUACAACAUGCUCCAGCCAAAGAAGGAAUCUGCCCUCCAACAAAUUGUUCCUGGGUUUGACACAGUUCAAACAGGAUGCUGGAAGUGUGACCAGUGUUAUACUGUAUCCCUGCUGUACCAGCACAGGACCUGCACAUCUUUACUCCUAGUGUCUAAGAAAGAAGCACUCUCUGAACUGCUGCUGUGGGCACAUCAGCACUGAUUUGCCCACCAACCAAGGACAAGGCAAAUUUUGUUGCAAAUCAACUCCAACAAAACCAAGUUUUAUAUAAAAUACAAAUUUUGCCGUCACAGCAUUGACUGAACUACAAGUCAGACCAUGGGAAGCCAAGAAGGAUGUGCAGAAGAAACUGGAGGUAAAACUGUACAAGGGUAAAAGACUGAACAAAACCCUAGUUAGUCUAGAGAUGGGACAAUAUAUAUUCUAAAAGUGCUAA